CAGCCAUUUCCAUGACCC
rnacentral:snRNA from 1 species